GAAAUGCGAUAAGUAAUGUGAAUUGCAGAAUUCCGUGAAUCAUCGAAUCUUUGAACGCACAUUGCGCCCUCUGGUAUUCCGGGGGGCAUGCCUGUCCGAGCGUCAUUGCGCACCCCUCAAGCACGGCUUGUGUGAUGGGCCCUCCCGCGUCUUGGUCGUCAGGACGGGCCCGAAAAGCAGUGGCGGCUUCGCGGUUAUCCGAUCAGCCAGAGCGUAUGGGGACUUUCUCUCUGUCACACGCCCGCGGCGCGGACCGACGCCUGUCGACCUUUAUUCAUCUUUUUCUCGGUUGACCUCGGAUCAGGUAGGGAUACCCGCUGAACUUAAGC
rnacentral:misc_RNA from 1 species